UGUAAUCGAUUGUAAUUGAUUACGAUUACUUGAAAAACUGUAAACGAUUGUAAUUGAUUACGAUUACUUGAAAAACUGUAAACGAUUGUAACUGAUUACGAUUACCCCAUGUCUGAUAUUGACAUGAUUCAUAACACAGCAUGACUAAGGUAAAGAAGAAGAGGAUAUAUUAAUUAACAUGAUUCAUAACACAGCAUGACUAAGGUAAAGAAGAAGAGGAUAUAUUAAUUAACAUGAUUCAUAACGCAGCAUGACUAAGGUAAAGAAGAAGAGGAUAUAUUAAUUAACAUGAUUCAUAACGCAGCAUGACUAAGGUAAAGAAGAAGAGGAUAUAUUAAUUAACAUGAUUCAUAACGCAGCAUGACUAAGGUAAAGAAGAAGAGGAUAUAUUAAUUAACAUGAUUCAUAACACAGCAUGACUAAGGUAAAGAAGAAGAGGAUAUAUUAAUUAACAUGAUUCAUAACGCAGCAUGACUAAGGUAAAGAAGAAGAGGAUAUAUUAAUUAACAUGAUUCAUAAUGCAGCAUGACUAAGGUAAAGAGGAAGAGGAUAUAUUAAUUAACAUGAUUCAUAACGCUGCAUGACUAAGGUAAAGAAGAAGAGGAUAUAUUAAUUAACAUGAUUCAUAACGCAGCAUGACUAAGGUAAAGAAGAAGAGGAUAUAUUAAUUAACAUGAUUCAUAACGCAGCAUGACUAAGGUAAAGAAGAAGAGGAUAUAUUAAUUAACAUGAUUCAUAAUGCAGCAUGACUAAGGUAAAGAGGAAGAGGAUAUAUUAAUUAACAUGAUUCAUAACGCAGCAUGACUAAGGUAAAGAAGAAGAGGAUAUAUUAAUUAACAUGAUUCAUAAUGCAGCAUGACUAAGGUAAAGAAGAAGAGGAUAUAUUAAUUAACAUGAUUCAUAAUGCAGCAUGACUAAGGUAAAGAAGAAGAGGAUAUAUUAAUUAACAUGAUUCAUAAUGCAGCAUGACUAAGGUAAAAAGGAAGAGGAUAUAUUAAUUAACAUGAUU